GCCGGGCAUGGUGGCCCAUGCCUGUAAUCCCAGCUACUCAGGAGGCUGAGGCAGGAGAAUUGCUUGAACCUGGGAGACAGAGGUUGCAGUGAGCUGAGAUCGCGCCACUGCACUCCAGCCUGGGUGACAGAGCGAGACUCCGUCUCAA
rnacentral:SRP_RNA from 1 species